rnacentral:rRNA from 1 species
AGGGCAUGCCUGUUUGAGAGUCAU